rnacentral:hammerhead_ribozyme from 1 species
GUACUGCUGAAGAGUCCCAAACUAGGACGGAGGAAACAGCUGGCUGUCCAGUAC